CGUAACAAGGUUUCCGUAGGUGAACCUGCGGAAGGAUCAUUACCGAGUUGAUUCGAGCUCCGGCUCGACUCUCCCACCCCAUGUGUACCUACCUCUGUUGCUUUGGCGGGCCGCGGUCCUCCGCACCGACCCCCGUUCGGGGGGCCGGCCAGCGCCCGCCAGAGGACCACAAAACUCCAGUCAGUAAACGUCGCAGUCUGAGAAACAAGUUAAUAAACUAAAACUUUCAACAACGGAUCUCUUGGUUCUGGCAUCGAUGAAGAACGCAGCGAAAUGCGAUAAGUAAUGUGAAUUGCAGAAUUCAGUGAAUCAUCGAAUCUUUGAACGCACAUUGCGCCCCUUGGUAUUCCGAGGGGCAUGCCUGUUCGAGCGUCAUUUCAACCCUCAAGCUCUGCUUGGUAUUGGGCUCCGUCCUCUGUGGACGCGCCUCGAAGACCUCGGCGGUGGCGUCUUGCCUCAAGCGUAGUAGAAAACACCUCGCUUUGGAGCGCACGGCGUCGCCCGCCGGACGAACCUUUGAAUUUUUCUCAAGGUUGACCUCGGAUCAGGUAGGGAUACCCGCUGAACUUAAGCAUAUCAAUAG
rnacentral:rRNA from 1 species